rnacentral:rRNA from 1 species
CUGGUUGAUUCUGCCAGUGGUCAUAUGCUUGUGUUAAAGAUUAAGCCAUGCAUGCCUUAGUAUAGGUAGAUUUAACCGAAACUGCGGAUGGCUCAAUAAACCAGUCAUAAUCAAUUUGGUGAAGCAAAGUAGAAGGAUAACCCUGCUAAUUGUAGAGCUAAUACACGACCAUGAUAUCUAAUCUCGGAUGAGAAAAGAUAGCAUUUGUCAGCUCAAUUUUCCUGUAUGAUGAAAACAUCAAUUAUAGGAGAAGGGUAUAAGGACCCAGCCAUGCCCAUUCUAACAGACGCAACACCUCUGCCCAGGAAGCUAAAAAUACAAAACCGAGUCUUGCGAUGUAACGCACACAAACCCCCGUUAUAUCGUUUGUUUUAAUUCCGUUUUUGAAAUCUUUCCAGAUUUUUCUGGAGAGAAAUAGGAGACUGGAAAGGACUUAAAAGACAAGAGUAACUAAAGGGGGCAUAGGAGUGGUGGGCGGCAGAUAGGGGCUUAUACCUUAGAAGCCACAGUUGCAGAGCGACGAAUACAGACAAACGGAAUUUUUAUUUUUAUUUUCUCUCCUUUGGGGAGGAAAUGAGAAUGAGGGUUCAAUAGCGGAUCGCAUUUUAGAAGUUUGGGUGGCAACACCCUUGCGGCGACAGACCAAAAGAAUGACUGACCUAUCAAGCUGAUGGUAGGAUAGGGGCCUACCAAGCUGACCACGGGUAACGGGGAAUUAGGGUUCGAUUCCGGAGAGGGAGCCUGAGAAAUGGCUACCACUUCCAAGGAAGGCAGCAGGCGCGUAAAUUACUCGGUGCCGAGACGGCGAGGUAGUGACGACAAAUACCAAUGCCCAUGGAUCCAUUGUGGUCUGGGGCAAUUGGAAUGAAUACAAGACAAAUGUAUGUGUGAGUAACAAUUGGAGGGCAAGUCUGGUGCCAGCAGCCGCGGUAAUUCCAGCUCCAAGAGUGUAUAUUAAAGCUGUUGCGAUUAAAACGCUCGUAGUCGAAUUUGGGGGUCAAUUUGUUUUUUUUCCAUUGCCCUUUUUCCGUCAAAAGAAAAAGGCAAGCGAAAAUGAAUAAUUAUAGAGUAUAAUUUUUAAUACCACGGGACAAGAAAAAGUGAGGUAUUAUUCUUUUAACAAAAAGAAGUACUCUUUAAAGACCUCUCUGUCAGACGACUAAGUGUGGGACAAGCGGGAGCUACCCUUUGAUGGGAUACAAAAAAAUGCUUUAUAACAAAACUGCGCCACACAAAUUACUUUGAAGAAAAUAGAGUGUUUCAAGCAGAUUGGAAAUGAUGAAUAUUACAGCAUGGGAUAAUAAUGAUAAGACAAAAGAGUGGGGGAAGCAAGCGCAAGCAGACCAGAGACCACAAUUAGACCACAAGCGUAGGCCUGUCACCCAAUGACGAGCACAGUAAUUUUACUCGGUUUUGGGACGGGACGGUUUACAACCUUGUGCAAACAGGGUUGUGGACAACAGAGCCAAGGUUCAGUGACGUCACGAUCUCUAAGUGGGAGACAAGGAGAAGAAGACCCUUGCGGGGGAAUUCCGGACAGCUCAUGUGGUGGAAAGGUACUUUGGACAGGACACUGGGUUUUUUCUUCGGGAGGGAUUUGGUGUUUUGGCUUCUCUGCAACAACAUCUUAAGCAAAGAAUAGGAACAAACGGGGUGGUUUAUACUUUAUAGCGAGAGGUGAAAUUCUAUGAGCUACAAAAGAUAAACAAAAGCGAAAGCAUUCCACAAGAAUGUUUCCAUUGAUCAAGAACGAAAGUUGGGGGAUCGAAGAUGAUCAGAUACCAUCGUAGUCUCAACCAUAAACUAUGCCGACCAGGGAUUGGGGGAAGGUAGCAAUGUAAAGCAAUUUUUCUUCAACCGAGGGAAAAGUGAUUUAUGUUGUGUAUCGAAAUGAGACUGGCAUUUCUGUUUAUUUUAUCUAAAUAUUUGCGACCGCCAUUGUAACAGAUGGGGGAAGGGAAUAGAUUAGGUAGUAAAUAGAGGAUAUAAUGCUCCAAGAUAAAAUAAGUCUCUACUAGACUCUUCCAGCACCUAGAAGAGAAAUCGAAUAAGUGUUUGGGCUUCGGGGGGAGUAUGGUCGCAAGGCUGAAACUUAAAGGAAUUGACGGGAGGGCACACCAGGAGUGGAGCCUGCGGCUUAAUUUGACUCAACACGGGGAAACUUACCAGGGCCAGAUAGCAGGAGGAUUGACAGAUUGAGAGCUCUUUCUUGAUUUGCUAGGUGGUGGUGCAUGGUCGUUCUUAGUUGGUGGUGUGAAUUGUCUGGUUAAUUCCGAUAACGAACGAGACCUUAACUUAUUAAGUACAUCUCCGGGAUGCGGGACUUUUUAUCUUUUUUCUUAUCCCCUUUUUUGAUUGCAUUUCUUUGGGAGCAAUUUCAAGCAGAUGUUUUGAAAGAAGAAUAAGAAGGAAAAAAGUCAAACACCACUCCCAGCUCCAGGGCAGAACAUUUCAGAUUUAUAUUACUUUAUAUCAUGUAGAAGCAAUUCUAUGUGGUGUGGAGUGGUAUAAUUAUGGUGUGUUUAAGCCGGGAGGCGCAACAACGCGAGAUUUCUUAAAAGGACUAUUCGUGUUUAUAUAAACCUAACGGAUGGAAGUUUGAGGCAAUAACAGGUCUGUGAUGCCCUUGGAUGCUCUGGGCCGCACGCGCGCUACAAUGAUGGAAUCAAGGAGUAUUUUUCUAAUAGGGGCUAUUUAAUUAAUUUCAUUUUCAGUUUUUUCUUCGGAAGAAAAUGAGGAGGAAACUAAAUAAAUGUGACCCUUGGAAUAACCGAGCCCGAAAGGGUAAGCAGGUAAACUUUGUAAAAACCGUCAUACUGGGGAUAGAUGAUUGGAAUUGUUGGUCUUGAACGAGGAAUUCCUAGUAAGCACAAGUCAACAACUUGUGCUGAUUACGUCCCUGCCCUUUGUACACACCGCCCGUCGCUAGUACCG